AGCACCGCAACCUGAGGAUUGUGCGGUUUAAUUGGAUUCAACGCCGGAAAACUCACCAUAGCCGACGGACAAAUGAAGGUCAGUGUAAUGAACUUACCGGAUUGUUCGAGAGGUAGCGCAUGGCCGCCGUCAGUUCGUACCGCAAGGCGUUCUGUUAAGUCAGAUAACGAACGAGACCCUCAUCUCUAUCUGCUAACUGGAUAAAAAGGAUUCAGUGCACUAUAGGGAGACCGCUGGCGCUAAGUCAGAGGAAGGGGAGGGCAACGGUAGGUCAGUAUGCUCCGAAUGCUAUGGGCUACACGCGCAAUACAAAGGACGGGACAAUGGGCUGCUGCUCCGAAAGGAACGAUAGCUAUCCCGAAACCCGUUCGUAGUUCGGAUUGAGGGCUGUAACUCGCCCUCAUGAAGCUGGAUUAGGUAGUAAUCGCGUCUCAAAAAGGCGCGGUGAAUAUGCCCCUGCUCCUUGCACACACCGCCCGUCAAACCAUCUUAGUUGUGGGUGGGUGAGGCUACCUCUCUUUGGGUAUUCGAGCCUGCCUUCGACGAGGAGGGUUAAGUCNUACU
rnacentral:rRNA from 1 species